rnacentral:rRNA from 1 species
CCUACGGGUGGCAGCAGUGGGGAAUAUUGGGCAAUGGGCGCAAGCCUGACCCAGCAACGCCGCGUGAAGGAUGAAGGCCUUCGGGUUGUAAACUUCUUUUCUCAGGGACGAAGCAAGUGACGGUACCUUAGGAAUAAGCCUCGGCUAACUACGUGCCAGCAGCCGCGGUAAUACGUAGGGGGCAAGCGUUAUCCGGAUUGACUGGGGGUAAAGGGUGUGUAGGUGGGUAGGCAAGUCAGAUGUGAAAACCAUGGGCUCAACCUGUGGCCUGCAUCUGAAACUGUUUGACUUGAGUGCUGGAGAGGCAGACGGAAUUCCUGGUGUAGCGGUGAAAUGCGUAGAUAUUAGGAGGAACACCAGUGGCGAAGGCGGUCUGCUGGACUGCAACUGACGCUGAGGCGCGAAAGCGUGGGGAGCAAACAGGAUUAGAUACCCUGGUAGUC